UACGGGGGGAGCAAGCGUUGUUCGGAUUUACUGGGCGUAAAGGGCGCGUAGGCGGCCACUGCAAGUCAGUUGUGAAAUCUCCGGGCUUAACCCGGAAAGGUCAACUGAUACUGCAGGGCUAGAGUGCAGAAGGGGCAACUGGAAUUCUCGGUGUAGCGGUGAAAUGCGUAGAUAUCGGGAGGAACACCUGUGGCGAAAGCGGCGCACUGGACCAUAACUGACGCUGAGGCGCGAAAGCUAGGGGAGCAAACAGG
rnacentral:rRNA from 1 species